rnacentral:sRNA from 1 species
GAAGAAUUUCGACCAUCGUCAGAGACGACUAUGGCAUUUCCGCUCGCUUGAGCGGGGGCGGCCAUGUGAUUUCCGUGAUGGACGAAAUGAACGCUCUCAAAUUUCACGACUUUCUAAACCGGCUUGAUCAGGAAAAGGCGAUUUUCAAUUGGGAAUUGAACCUGACCCUGGAAG